AGCCGGCCCGCGGAGAGGAGCGGAAGGUCGGCACGCCCCAGCCUCCUCGGAGCAGCGGAGCGAAGCAAUCAGGGGAGCAAACUUGGGAACUGGGGCGGCGAAGGGAGGAGACGGAGCGCAGGGAGCGGAGGGACGCCCGGCACACUCUCAGCAGAGGCCGAGUCCGAGCGGCCGGAGAGGUUGGCCGCAGGACGGCAGCCUCCGGGGCGCAAACGGAAACCUCGGAGCCAAGGACUUGAAGGAACCCAGAGGCUGGGGAGCCCUUAGAGAAUGAUCAGAAGGAAAGCGAACCCGGCCCAGACACAAACCGAAACUGUACAAAGACAGUAGCUUGGGAGAACCCGGGUGGGAGGCGAGGGAGUGUCAGAGCCUGCGGCCCGAGCGCGCGGGUCCCUGUCUCUUGCCCGGAGCCCGGCGCUAGUAAGUCGCCGGGGCCGCCUUCCCCUUCGUCCCCAACGAGCGGGUGGGUAGGAUCCGCGCCCCACGCUGGGCCAGCAGAAUUGGGGCGUCGCGGCUCCUGCAGAGAGGGCGAGCCCCAGAUGUGCUCGGAUCUCCAGCCCGUGACUCGACUGGCCAGCGCGGUCCAGGCCUACGACCCCCGCUGCGCUGACCGGAAGUGCAUCUGCGAAGCGCCCUCCGCGGAGCCGGCUGGGCGAAGGCAGCUCUGGCCAGGCUGGCGCCAGGCCAACGUACAGGAUGCCCGAUAGGGCAGCCUGUGUCAGCGGAACCAGCCUGGGCUCAGGAGGAAGGAGAAUGGCGAUGAAGAGGAGGGAGAGAAAAUAGGAAAGUCAUUCUGGAGGAUGACUUCAGGGCCUUGGCCAGAUUCCUGAGGUAAAGGCAGCUGUGACGAGGAGAUGUGACAAAGAGAAAGACGCACGGGCACAGAGGAGGCAUGGACCAAAUGUGUGAGUUCUCAGAGCUCCAGUUUCGUCUCCGGAACAAUGAAGAAAAUUCUAUUUAUCCAGAGUGAUUGGAAGAUAAAGUGAGAUAAUAAACAAGAAAUCAAAUUACAUAAUAAGGACACAUCUAUGCACUUUACUAAUACCAUUGUGGCGAGAAGUAACCACCUCUUUCCUGUGCCCCAGGAUGAAGGCUCUUGGAAGAGAUGAAGAGGGAGCCUUAAGGAACAGGAUGCUUCCUGGAGCUGCUGCUGAAGUUGGCCCCUGCCCCAGCCUCUGGAUCUGGUGGUGUUGAGGGGCUUAGGUACCCUAAGGGGCCACACUGGGGAAGGCAUAAGGAAGAGUAGCCCAGUUUCCAGGCAUUCAAAAUAGUAAAGUUCCCUGUAGAACUGGGCACCCCCGACACCAUAUCUGGAUAUGGCAAAGAAAUGUCUUGAUAUUCUGAGCUGUCUGGAUUCAGGAAGGAAUACCCCAGGCCCUCAAGUCUCUGACCCCCUAACCUGAAGGCCUGGAGGAAAUGAAGUUUCCAAGGUCCUCACCCACCCUUCAAGAGAAGCAAAAGAUAUAUUUCCAGCCACCAGGAAACAACUCACCUGGACCAUCCCCAGGGAAGGGCCCACCUCACUGCUUCCAACUCUUCACCCAGGGAUUGGGUGAGCACCUAUUAUGUGCAGAGUUUACUCCACACACCCCGAAAAGGUGCGAAAGGAAUGAAGGAAGAGAUAUACUGCAAUAAAUUUGGGAACCUAUGGCAAUGUCGAAUGUGCCUUCCAACUCCAGGCCCCUGAAUCCCAGGCUCCUAAAGCUUUGAUCAGGGAUUUGAAGGGCCCCUUGGCUAUCUGGACUUAGCGCCUAGCCCUGUGACUUCCCCAGACAUAGGCCCAAAGCAGGGGGAAUUUUGCAAGAAAGAAGGUGGACAUACUGGUCAUUCCCACUUCCCACAAAAUCGAUCCUACAAAAACAACAGGAAGGAAACCCAAGGAGAGAGCACUGAAACAGUUCCCACGCGUGCACAAGCACACCUGCAAUCAUUCCGGCAUGCAAACACAAGUGAGUGCAUGUGCACACACUGUGAGCUCACGAAUGUCCAAGGGUGCAUCUAAUCACAGAGAAAUGAACACGCAAUGGCAUAGUACUCACACAUGCAAGGAUACAGAGAACUCGGUGAGUACUCAGCCACACCGGCAUCUACACAUGAUCACAUGUGUAGUUUCCCAGGACAUCUACAUAUCCGGCCACACGCGUAUAGGCACACAGAUACAGACUACAGAGGAGCGGGAAAGCAGAGAGAACAGAAUUUACCAUAAAAAAAAAAAAACCUCCUGAGAAGAGACCCUCCCGCGUCCUCCUCCUGGUCCCUGGAUGGCUAGGGCCCAGUGGCUCUGCCCAGGAGGGUAGGCCCCAGGGGCAGGGGCGAGAGUCCAGACACUGCCCUCUAGGAAAUCCGGGUGUCCUGAGGGUCCGGGGGCUGUGUCUGCGCCCUCUUUGGUCAGGAAGCAAGCCAGGUUUUGCUGGGAUUCUGAAAGGGGCUCCUCUCGGGCUUUGCGCUGGGGCGAGGCAGUCCUGUGCCCAUUUCAGAGGUUGCGGCCCAGCGCGAUCCCGACUGCAGACCGAGCAGCUGCCGCUAUACAUAGCUUCCCAGCAUCGGGACCUCCUCUCCCGGCUUUGCGGGACCAGGAGCUCCGUGCCCCGGGAGGCUCCGUGCACUGCCCUCGACCAGCCGUUUCUCCAACGAUAUCACUUCUCCAAAGGAUGAGAGGUUAAGUCCAGGGAGGCCGAGGCGCCCCUAGUUCAGGACGGGAGGCAGCCCCUCACCUCUGCCGUGCCCUCGCCUCCUGCUUCUAGAGGAGAAAACCUCCAGCAAAACUCGUACCAGAAAAAAAGAAAGAAAAAGAAAAGACGUUGGCUGGAGCGAGGAGCAGGUUGAAACAGAGGAGGCUGCAGCCGGGCUGGGCCUGGCCUGGCGCAGGGAAAAGCCGGGCAGCCCCGCAGUGUUUCCGAAGUCAGGAUGGGGGUUUCCGGCUUUUGGGCUCCUUUGAACGCAAUCAGAGACCAGGCGUGUCCCACCAGACCCUCCAAGCGCGGGGGGUCCGGGCCGCCCCUACCACCGCGACCCCCUGGUCCCCCGCAUUCGUUGUGCGGUGAUCGACCUUAACGGCACAGUGUGUGUGCGAUGCUUGCUGGGGACCGCCGUGUGCCUGCGCCCUCACCCUUCCCCAGCCCGCAAAGAGGACGGCUUCUAGCCGCUCGUGAGCACAGUGUACACUUUAUUUCAGACUACAGGUUUCUGAACAUAAUAAAAUCUUUGGCUUGUA